AUGUUAUUGUAUGUGUAAGCUAACGCAAUUGCCCCAUCUUACCAUCAGUAAGGAUAUCCUUCUUCUAACACAUCCUGUACUAAAACCUUCGAUCAACAAUAGUAACUAGAUUUCGGGUCGGUGCAUAAAAUCCGUCUCGUCAAAUAACAGCGCACUUGAAAUGUGAGCUCUUAUUUUGUUUAGUUCACUUCAAACACAGCCAAUGUCAACCCGUCUCACAAUACCGCAGUGUGUAUUCAAAAGUUGCAAAAAUAAGGCCCGAAAAAGCAAUUUAACGGCCGGAGUAUCUUACUUUCGCUUUCCUAGCAAUCACGUGUGCAGAAUGGAUCUCGAUUGUCGCCAGAGAAACAAGAGAUGACUUUUAUAAGCCAGCUAAGAACUCCGCUUAUUGACACUGGACAUCUUUGCCUUCCGUGCUCACGGUUACUGAAAUGUGGCCGAAACAUUAUAAUAAAAAUACCGCGCUUGAAACCGUUUAAACGUUGUUUUAUAAUGUGCACUGGUCGCGAAAACUUAAAAAUAUAUAUUACACAAAAACGUAACGCUAAUAAAAUAAUAAGUAAUGUAUAGAUACUAACAAACAUACAUUUCCAAAACAUAAAAAGUAAACAACUAAACUUUAACUUUAAUUCAUUAAUAAAUUAUUUUAGUGUUAAGCGCGACUCCCUUACCUCCUGUAGUAAAUAGAAAUCGGCAUUUCAAGAAGCAAAAAUAAAUAAAGCAAAACGAUGUUAGUUCUCAGAGCAAUUAAGGGAAAAGCUACUUUAUUUAUUGCGCUUUAAGAUUGAUUUAACAUUAAAAGUUGUUUAAAA